ensembl:lncRNA
GUGACAGUCGCCCAGUAGCCCCCCUCACCCAUCCAAUCAGCCCGGUCCCAGCCACUGCAGUCUGUAGAAAAAAGACCCAACCCACUUAUCUCCUCCCCCUCACCUUUCAUUGGACGCCUCCUCUGCCAAUCACAACCCAGGGGCGGGCUUGAGAGUGAGGGAGCGCUGAUGUCAGAGUCACAUGGAUUCUGGUGUGGUCAUGCGAGUGCAGCUGAGCGGCAGAGCUAUGCUGGCCAGCUGCUGCUGAAACAGCAGUGGACUGCUUGAGCUAGCACUCGCGAUACCGCUCGCCUAUGGACCGCCAAGCUUAAUGAUGUAUUUUGUGAUUUCAGCUAUGAAAGUUUCGAGGGACUGGAACGGUGAUGAUAGCUGCAUUAAUUCGUCUCAUAUGUCGACUGAAGGACACAACACGCUUGUCCACAGAGAGCCUUCUGAAUCACUAUCACAGCCUCUCAGACCAGCACUCAUCUUAGAGUGUCACUCUAUGAAUACCAUCACUCUGUUACCAGUUACACAAUGUGGGCGGCUGUGAAUUAUAGCGUCUUGUCUUCACAAAGAGUGAAAUCUCUUUCCAGACAAAGAAUGACUGGAUUAUGCAGGCUUAAAAAAAUAUAUCUUAUGCUUUUUCACAAUUCUGCGAUAUAUUUGGCUACAAUCAGGGCUUGAAUUUAAAUUGCAGGUAUUGUGUAUAAUUUUACUAAUUCCAGCAGGUUCCGUGAUUAUCAUUUGAGAAAUUCCUGCAAACACAUAAAGCCAACUCAAAUAGCUCACAAAUACAAAUUGAGUUCAUUUUUAUGGUUUAUUGUGUGUAAAUGAUCAAAUACACAAAACUAUGUAAAAAUACCCGUCUUGUUGUUUAUUCACAUAAACACAGCUGGUUAUAUCUUAAAGGGAUGCUUCACUCCAAAAUUAAAAUUUUGUCAUUAAUCACUUACCCCCAUGUCGUUCCAAACCCGUAAAAACUUUGUUGGUCUUUGGAACACGAUUUAAGAUAUUUUAGAUAAAACCCGGGAGGCCUGUGACUGUCCCAUAGACGGCCAAGUAAAUAACAGUGUCAAGGUCCAGAAAAGGCAUGAAAGUCAUUGUCAUAACACUCCAUCUGCCAUCAGAUGUGCAAUCUGGGUUAUAUGAAGUGACAGGAACACUUUUUGUAGGCGAAGAAAACAAAAAUAACUUUAUUAAACAAUUCCUUUGUCAACAGUCUCCUCUGUGUCUCUCCAUAUCACUGUAUGCUGCGUAUGCUCUUCUGUAUCAGCCUCGCCACAAGGAUGUUAAGGAUGCUAAAUACACGUAGAAACAGCGCAUCCUUGUGGCGUGGAUUUUUACCUUUAUUUUAUUGUAUGUAUUUGUGCUAUUGCUUGUAAUUUCUUCAUUUUUUUUGUUUGUUUUUAAGUCAAAUUCAAUUCAGAGUUUCAAAUCAAGUUUCCAUGUACUUCUUUUGUGCCCCAACUCCCCCUCAAAUAAAAAAAAUCCCCAUGUUUUGUUUUGCCUAAAA